AAACCGUGGCUCAGUUCAGAUCGUAGGCUGCAACUCGCUUACGUGAAGUAGGAAUCGCUAGUAAUCGCAGGUCAGCAUACUGCGGUGAAUACGUCCCCGGGCCUUGUACACACCGCCCGUCACACCAUGGAAGUUGGCCAUGCCCGAAGUCGUUACUCCAACCCUUGUGGAGGAGGACGCCGAAGGUGGGGCUAAUGACUGGGGUGAAGUCGUAACAAGGUAGCCGUACCGGAAGGUGCGGCUGGAUCACCUCCUAACAGGGAGACAACAAAAUGUUUAAUAUUAUUAUUUUGUCACCUUAGGUCGAUCGGUAUCUCACGUUCUUAAUUUAUUAAGAAUUUCAUUUCCUAAGUUUUUCUAGGUCACACCCAUCAUUUUCCUGGGCCAUUAGCUCAGGUGGUUAGAGCGCACCCCUGAUAAGGGUGAGGUCCCUGGUUCAAGUCCAGGAUGGCCCAUAUCUCUAUGUUGGGGGUAUAGCUCAGUUGGUAGAGCGCCUGCUUUGCAAGCAGGAUGUCAGCGGUUCGAGUCCGCUUACCUCCACUGAUUACCACCUCUUCCAUAAUCUAUAGAAAGGAAAAAUUUUGAGUUGUGAUCAAAAUUCUGAACGAAUCUAGCUUCCUAAUGAAAACAUUAAGAUGCUGGACUCAUUGAAUUAAUUUCAUUGUUUUCAGAGAACCUUGACAACUGCAUAGAUUAUUUUUAAAGACAAUAAGCAUCUUUAAUGAUGCAGAUUUAUUAUUUGUGCAAAUGCAUUAAUAACAAUUCUAUUAAGCUGAUGCUUCAAUUAUGAAGUUAUUGGUCAAGCUACAAAGGGCUCACGGAGGAUACCUAGGCACACAGAGGCGAUGAAGGACGUGGUUACCUGCGAUAAGUCUCGGGGAGU
rnacentral:misc_RNA from 1 species